UACGGGGGGAGCAAGCGUUGUUCGGAUUUACUGGGCGUAAAGGGCGGGUAGGCGGCCAGCACAAGUCAGUUGUGAAAUCUCCGAGCUUAACUCGGAAAGGUCAACUGAUACUGUGCGACUAGAGUGCGGAAGGGGCAACUGGAAUUCUCGGUGUAGCGGUGAAAUGCGUAGAUAUCGAGAGGAACACCUGCGGCGAAGGCGGGUUGCUGGGCCGACACUGACGCUGAUGCGCGAAAGCCAGGGGAGCGAACGGG
rnacentral:rRNA from 1 species